rfam:Solemya velum gill symbiont strain WH SV_sym_Scaffold_2, whole genome shotgun sequence.
UAAGAUUACGCGUUUUCGCGUAUCGUGCGAACUAGGUUUGUAUCAGGAGCUAAUGUAAUGGCCCGUAUUGCUGGUGUAAAUAUUCCAGAC